UCCGAUAUGGUGUAAUGGCUAACAUCCGACGCUCUCAUUCUUCUGAUUAGGGUCCGUCGAGCUCGGGGUUCGAUUCCCCGUAUCGGAG